rnacentral:sRNA from 1 species
UCAGAUCCAGGCAUAACAUCCAUCAGGGUGUAUUGCGGCAGAUACGCUGCCAUCCCGAAAGUAGAUCAGCGGGAUGACAGCGUAUUUGUCAGCCUGAAAGAUGACCCGUAUAACUAAAAAGGCCGCUCUGCGGCCUUUUUUCUUUCAAUAACCGAUU